UGGGGAAUUUUGGACAAUGGGGGCAACCCUGAUCCAGCCAUCCCGCGUGUGCGAUGAAGGCCUUCGGGUUGUAAAGCACUUUUGGCAGGGGAGAAACAGCCUGGGAUAAUACCCCGGGCGACUGACGGUACCUGCAGAAUAAGCACCGGCUAACUACGUGCCAGCAGCCGCGGUAAUACGUAGGGUGCAAGCGUUAAUCGGAAUUACUGGGCGUAAAGCGUGCGCAGGCGGUUCGGAAAGAAAGGUGUGAAAUCCCAGGGCUUAACCUUGGAACUGCACUUUUAACUACCGAGCUAGAGUACGUCAGAGGGGGGUAGAAUUCCACGUGUAGCAGUGAAAUGCGUAGAGAUGUGGAGGAAUACCGAUGGCGAAGGCAGCCCCCUGGGAUGAUACUGACGCUCAUGCACGAAAGCGUGGGGAGCAAACAGGAUUAGAUACCCUGGUAGUCCACGCCCUAAACGAUGUCAACUAGCUGUUGGGGUUUAUUAACCUUAGUAGCGCAGCUAACGCGUGAAGUUGACCGCCUGGGGAGUACGGUCGCAAGAUUAAAACUCAAA
rnacentral:rRNA from 1 species